rnacentral:rRNA from 1 species
UACGUAGGGUGCGAGCGUUAAUCGGAAUUACUGGGCGUAAAGCGUGCGCAGGCGGUUCGUUAUGUCCGAUGUGAAAGCCCCGAGCUCAACUUGGGAAUGGCAUUGGAAACUGGCGGGCUGGAGUGUGGCAGAGGGGGGUGGAAUUCCACGUGUAGCAGUGAAAUGCGUAGAGAUGUGGAGGAACACCGGUGGCGAAGGCAGCCCCCUGGGCCAACACUGACGCUCAGGCACGAAAGCGUGGGGAGCAAACAGG